CACACACACACACACACACACACACACACACACACACACACACACACACACACACACACACACACACACACACACACACACACACACACCUGUGAUAAUUAGCUAGAUAAUGAAAUGACAUUGCUGACGGAGUACUCGUGGAGUUGAGACAAACAUCAUGAUAAUAUUGUACUACUGCAUAAACCUUCUGUCUGUCUGUCUGUCUGUCUGUCUGUCUGUCUGUCUGUCUGUCUGUCUGUCUGUCUGUGUCUGUGUAACAAGGCUAUUAGCAGCUCCAACCCAGCAUCCAAACACACUAACAGGAGGAGUGAGGGUAUUUAUAAUGUCACAGUCCUGACCAGGAUAGAUGGACACAGCCAGGACCUGCACUGCCAAGUCUAGUGACUGUGUUUAUAUAUCACAGCUCCUCGUCAGACCUGGCCUCCUUAUCCUUGUAAUUUUAAGCAAGCAGCUCCGGGUACAAGAAUGCUAGGAGGAGAAAGACAACACAUUGUGCUGUGUUUCAAGGAUGCAGAUCUAAUGAAGAGAAUCUCCUGCGUUAACACGUACCAACACACACAAUAGAAACCAUGGAAACUACUGAACCUGCUGCGUUAUCUCUGGAGUCACGACACAUUCACAAAUGCAUUCACACACCUUUGGUAUUUGGCUGGAUACAAGGAAGGAUCUGCAUACUACAUGUUCUUACCUUUGUGUUUCUGUCAUACAGCGGCCUUUAUUACAUGACUGAGGAGGACCAGGCCAACUGAUAUAAGAAGAAUACACUGCCAAGGAAUGUCGAGUCACAUGCAGCAGAAAAGAAGGGAGGAGAGAGUAUAUUGAAAAAUAGUUGAUGGUUGCCACAGUCAGAGUGACUGUAGCUUUCGGGCUGGCGGGUGAGGAUUCACAUUUGUUCCCAAUAAGAGGACGUCACUGCUCUCUGCAAAUUUGGGGCAGUUAUGCUUGAGGUCAUGGUGGGCUGUGAGGGGACAAGGAACGGGUUGUUGUGGGGACAUUCAUGCCUACAACAAUACGCCAUGGUUGUGUUCAGCAGGCAUGACAUGGGAAAUAAUUUUAAACGGAAUGAGGUACUUCUCCGUUUCCUGCUUUUUGAAAGGGACACCGUGCUCUCUGUUUCCCUUUCUCCCUGCAGCAAGACAGAAUCUCUCCAAGGUACAAUAGGUAAACCCCUGCUAUAAGGAACCCUAGCAGCUGCCUAAAGUGAAUGGGAACGUCCUAGAGAGAAAACCUUCACUGGUUUAAAGAAGGGAUUCUCCCAUCUGAGCCUGGAGAUACGAUCAUCCUCAAGUGUGUGUGCCAGACUGCCAGGACAUCUUGUGAGGUCACAGGUCAAAAGAUCCAAAUCAGUCAGGUUUCAAGACUAGUCAUUCAACUGAGACUGC